rnacentral:tRNA from 1 species
GCCCGUGUAGCUCAGUUGGUAGAGCGAUGCUUUCGUAAAGCAGAGGUCGUCGGUUCAAUUCCGACCAUGGGCU